AGGUGGACUGAGACAGGAAUGAGGACCUCUGCUAUUUGGCCCCUGAAAACCAAGAGCAAACAAUACUCAGUAAACGGUGCUCUUUAUUCUGCUGGUGGACUGAGACAGGAAGAAGGACCUCUGCUAUUUGGCCUCUGAAAACCAAGAGGUGGACUGAGACAGGAAGAAGGACCUCCGCUAUUUGGCCUCUGAAAACCAAGAGGU